GGCUUUGGGGUGUUAACAUAUGGGGUUGCAAGUCCCAAGUAGCGGGGUAAAAACCUGCCAGAGUCUG
rnacentral:tRNA from 1 species